GGGGCGGUCCCGCCAGUCGGGCCUGGAUCCGCGUUGGCCCGCGGGCUCGGGUGAGCCCGCUCAAACGCCCCGGGAGCCACCGCCGCCUCCUCAGCGCCAGUCCUCAGCGCUGAAAAGACUCUUCCCUUCGUCGCCCAACCGCCCCUUCAGUAGGGACCGCCCCUCUUUUUGACACUGUCCAAUCCACAGUGGGCGCUUUCGUCCUCCCCGCCCUCGCCACCAAAGGAUCGUUCUCCAGGGCCAACAGUCGUACAAAAAGCCGGUGUAGGUAUGUCCGGCCAGAGGUAGACGGCCCGCGGGGCCAAUCGGAGUGCAGGCAGGGCAGCAGGCCCCGCCUCCGAAACAACAGAAAGCACUUGACAGGCUUGCUCUCCAAUGAGAAGCCCCGGAAAAGUGUCGCGCGGAGGCGGAGCCACGCGGUACAGCCACCUCUGCGCCUGCUCAAAGGCCCUGGACACUUGGAGUCUAGAUGGGGAAACUGACAUGAAGAGGAGUCCAAAGUGACACAGUCAGGCCAGAAAUGUUGCUUCUGAAGUCCUGAGUCCACCUCCUAGCACUGCCAAGCAGUCCACCUGGAGGUGAUGAGAACUUCCAGGCUUUGGUAAUGGACAACUCUGUAUCCCUGGAGCCUUCAUUCCUUUUGGCAUUACAGAACCACAAGAAGUCAUCUAGAAUCAUUGAGAUUCUCAACUCCAUUGGGCAAACUGGAACCAGCAAAAUCUCAGAUAUCUAGAAUUGCCACUGCUUCCUUGACUCUGUGAUCAGUCUACAGCCACAGAAUCCUGAUUCCCUUUGGACAUUCUAGAAUGGCACUUUAAAAAAAAACAACCCACCCAGUGGAUCCUUUCAAAGCACUGCUUAUUCUCUUGGCUGGGUGCUCUACAGCCAGAAGUUGGAGUUAUCUAAUAUCAAGAACUCUUAAUCUGUCACUUCAGUCUUUCUAAACCCACAGACUAACAAUGUUUUGUGCAUUCUAGAAA
rnacentral:lncRNA from 1 species